rnacentral:rRNA from 1 species
CGUGGGUAACCUGCCCAAGAGAUCGGGAUAACACCUGGAAACAGAUGCUAAUACCGGAUAACAACAGAUGAUGCCUAUCAACUGUUUAAAAGAUGGUUCUGCUAUCACUCUUGGAUGGACCUGCGGUGCAUUAGCUAGUUGGUAGGGUAACGGCCUACCAAGGCGAUGAUGCAUAGCCGAGUUGAGAGACUGAUCGGCCACAUUGGGACUGAGACACGGCCCAAACUCCUACGGGAGGCACAGCC